GAAUCGAUUCCAAUGCACAGUUCGACUACCGAAGUACAGAAUGAAACAAGUGUCAGAAGUGAUGUGCGUGUGGGUGGGUGGUAGGAUGCAUCUGUGUGUGUGUGGGAUAUAGUAAUAACUGAAUAUGAGUGUCAAUUAUUAACAAAUGGAUGAGUAUGGGUAUGAAUAAUGAGGGUGUGUGUGAGUAUGGGGGUGGAGGAUGAAUAUGACUGUGAUGGUAUGUUGAACAGAAUAAAUAUAAGGGUGUGGGUGAGAAUGGGUGUGAAGAAUGAAUAUGAGCGUGGGGGUCAGCAUGUUGAACAGAAUGAAUAUGAGUGUGUUGGUGGGUAUGGGUGUGAAGAAUGAAUAUGAGGGUGUGGGUGAGUAUGGGUGUGAAGAAUGAAUUUGUGGGUGUGGAAGAGUAUGGUGAGCAGAAUUGAAACUAAGGCAUGGGUGAAUGUGGGUGAUUUGGGUGUGAAUAAUGAAUAUGAGGGUGUGGAUGGAUAUGUGUGUGAAGAAUGAAUAUAAGGGUGUGGGUGAGUAUGGUGAACAGAAUAAAUACUAAGGUGUCGGUGAGUAUGGGUGUGAAGAAUGAAUAUAAGGGUGGUGGUGGGUGUUGGUGUAAAGAAUGAAUAUGAGCCUUGGGGUGAGUAUGUUUAACAGAAUGAAUAUAAGGGUAUGGGUGGGUAUGCAUAUGAAGAAUGGAUAUGAGGGUGUGGGUAUGUAUGGUGAACACAGUGAAUAUGACGGCGUGAGUGAGUAUGGGUGUGAAGAAUGAAUAUGAGGGUGUGGGUGAGCAUGGGUGUGAAGAAUGAAUAUGAGAGUGUGGGUGAGUGUGUGAGCAGCAUUAAUACUGGGGUGUGGGUGGGUAUGGGUGUGUAUACUGAGGGUGUUUGUGAAUAAAGUAUGAUGAACUAAUAUGAGGGUGUAAAUGACUGUGUGGGUGAGUAUAGGCGUGACUAAUGAAUAUACGGAUGUGGGUGGGUAAAAAUGCGAAGUAUACAAUGAGGAAGUGGGUGUUUAUUAGUAUGAAGAAUAAUUACUGUGUGAGAAUAAAAAUGAGGGUGUGGGUGAGUAUGCUGGUUUAAAAAAAGACAUCACUGUAGAGAUACUAUGAGAGAGUGUGUGAGAUUAUGCAAAACAUAAAUACGAGAGUGUGUGUGAGUGCGGAUGUGAUAAAAGCAUAGGUUGAUGUGGGUUAGAACGGGUAUGAAGAUUUAGUUAGGAAAUCUAAUUGGAAAAUUAAUGAAUAACUUUAAUGAAAAGGGGGAAAUAACAUUUGGACUAAAAUUAAACUUGUUCGUGAUUGAUGUACAGACUAAAUGUAAUUGUACUAAGUUUGUAAUAUUUGAUUAAUUGUUCCAAGUAUGUGUAUGGAAAAAUCUAGGUAUUAUUUGCUUUCACAUAUUCAAUGAUUAUGUAACAAUAUUCAUGUUUGAAAGAGAGAAAAAAUGUCAUUUAAAGCCAAACUCUUAACAGUAUGAGGACGGCACUUUAUCGGUAUUCAAAGAUUGUGUGUUUAAAGCACCUUUCACAGUUGGCAGUGCAUUAGCGUUAGAGGCUUUCACAAUUACUCGUGCGAUCGUUUGCGAUUACUUGGUCAGAAUUAUAUUGCACAAAAUCGCAACGGUUGUAAGCAGUUGCAUCACAAAUUGUAACCAUCAUGUAUUCCUUACAUUAACAAAGUGACGUGCCGAUUUUCAACAACUCGUCAUCUUCUCAUCCUGACAAAGUCGACUUGACGAGUUAGAGGAUCUAGUCUUAUUGUCUUCUCGUUCUAAAUAGGUCGACUUGACGAUAUUCUGGAUAACGUUUUCUUGACUUCCCGUCCUGAAGAAAACCGCUUGACGAGAUUGAGGAUAAAAUCUUAUUCUCUUAUCAUCGUAUAUAAGUUGACUUGACGAGAUCAUGGAUCCCGUCUUCAUCUCUUCUCGUCCUGACUAAGUUGAGUUGACAAGGUUCUGUAUCUUGUCUUCUUAUUUUCUCGUCAUAGUUUGGUCGACUUGACGUGAUUGAGGAUCUUGUCUUUUUAUUUUUCGUCCUGUCAAAGUCGACUUGACGAGAUCGUAGAUAUUGUCGUCUUAUUUUCUCGUCUGGACGAAGUCGGCUUGGCGAGAUUGAAGAUCUCGUCUUCUUGUCUUCUUUCCUCGUCUUUUUGUCAUCUUGACUCUUUUUUUCGUCUUCUAGAGGCACGUUCGAGCUUCAAUACAUUUCUCUUAAACCCCUUUCACAAUUGGUGGUAUAAAUGCUCACAACCGUUGCGGUAUUUUAUUUCCCUCUCUCAACAAACAAGUUUGAACAUAAUUAAUUUUAGAUUCGUCAUCAUCAUGAAUUAAAAACUUAUCAAAUUGGAUUAUACCAACUAUAUGCUGCACACAAACGCAAAGGUUGUAAGCAAUCACGAAUCGUGAAAGGGGCUUUAGAGGAGGAACAGCCUUCUCUGUUUGUGGAGCUAAUAUUCAUCUGGUGUACAAGGAGCUAUCAUCAUGAUCAUAGAGAUUUCUUUGGUACAUGUGAAUGUGAAACACUCUGAAAAAAGUUUACCCAAUAUUGGGUAAAUAGGGGCAUUUCUACCCAAUAUUUGCUACAAUUUUACUCAGUGUUUAUAGAGUAUAUGUGCUUGGAUGUUUUGGGGCGUUGAUUUGUGUGGGCGUGGUGUAUUUAGUUAGGGUGUUAUUUGAAGGGUGGGGCAGUAAUGUGGGGAAUGGAGGGAAGGGCGAUGUUAUGAGAGAUUGCUUUGAUUUGCUUUUACUUUUAAUAACACAAAACUAUGCGUGAAUUCGAUAUUUGGUUCAUUAUCUUGACUAAGAGGAUGUUUUUCUUCAAGAAAAUUAUGGCUUAUUUAAAAUCUUGACAUAUCUUUGUGGUUAAGGAGAUAAAUCCAACCUCUUUAUAUUUUUUAAUAUAAGAUACACAUAAAUGUCAGAAUAAAAAACAUUCGUAGAUCAUGUUAAAAAAAUGAAUAAUAAUUGUAGCUUGUAUGUAUCAGUUUUGAAAGAAAAUAAUUGAGCCAUAACUUGAUUUAAAUGUCAGGAUAAAGGUCUUCAAUAAUUUCAUUUGUAACAUUGAAAUGAAAAAAGGUUCAUUUUAUUACCGUAAACUUGUGCAUAUACUUAGAUUUUACAUGGAUGAGGAUUUUUAUCUAUGCAUCUAUGCAAUUACUCUUUCGGGAAAGUAUCCCCAUCUUGCAGAAUCUGUGACAAAACCUAAAUCCUAACAUGGAUGUUACGUCAUGAAUCGCAAAUCUAACUACAUACAAGUCAAUACACUGUAUUGGCUCAGAUACAGCUUUUAGCUAUGCCGACUAAAAAGCCGAAAGGACAAUUGUUCAUUCUCGAUAUAACAGUGUAUCAUUUAUCUUAAAACAAUCCUUUAUAGCUUAUUUCUUAUACUUUUAUUUUUUGAUAACAUCCACUAAGUGAUAUAACAGUGAAUUCUUUAAUGAUAAAGACAUUACCAUAUACAUGUAUUUAACUGUUUGCGCUGGAUUCUCUGCAUUUGGUCAUGACAGUAUUUAUUAAAGACAUCUAUCAAAUUAA